UCUAUAGUGGCGUUUCCCGUGCGUCUGCAAUACUUUCUUUGUUGCCAUAACAACUAAUAAGGAGACUCAGUUUGACCUUCUUUGUUUCUCGGAGAUGCCUAAAGUGCAAGGGCUUCUCGCACUGUUGUUUUUAAUAGGAAAAAGCCAGCCAGAAGCUGCUCAGGAAAGCAGAGCACAGACUGCAAAGAGCGCGCCAGGUGAAGCAGAGAGCCGGAUACCCAGCUGCUGUUUCUAACGACCCGGCGCUCAGCCACUAGCCAAUCAGGCUUCCCCCGCCCACCCUUCCCCCCGGAGUGCUUUCCUCCUUGAUGUUAUUAUCUUUGGCCUUUGGUAAUGAUGCAGUCCCCUCCUGUACUGAAGAGCUGAGGUUGCUUGGGUGGAUUUAAAGAUGUCGGAGAAGGAUGGUGACCCAUGUAGAUUUCCUCCACCCCAUAUGACAGUGUUGAAUCAGGACAGUUCAUUGAGGAGUUCAUUGUCAGCCUUCACCGCAAGAAGAGAGUUUGAUUCAUAGGAGCCGGUUCACGACCCAGUGAAACAGGAAAUGCCUGGAAGUGCUUGUCUGCGGCCAGAACCUACAAAGUGCUGGGCGAGUGUUAUCAUUUCUCCUUUGAGCUUUCAUCUGAAAAGAUUUCCUCUUUAUGAUGAGGUUCUGCCCACACUUCCAAUCUUCUAGGAGCUUGUAGAAUUGUGGAACUGAAGAGCUGUGGUGGAUCUUGGAAUAUAUCACCUUUCCCAAGGCUCAUAUAUCCCAGUCGAACUCUGAAGGAGAGAAGAGGCAGAUCACCAUAUAAUCUAUCCAACUUCAAUUUCAAAAGAUGCUGCUGCUGAUCAAAGGAUACCUGUGAAGCAACUGAAGCACAAGGAGUUCCUAUUAAGUGAAAAUUGCCAAAGAUGCAUUGGACCCAGUCUCCGCCCUCACACAGCCAACUCUGAAAUGAAGGUAAUUCACUGUUCUCUGAAACUGGUCCUCUAAUGAACUUGUGUCCUGGUGCAUUACCUGCUUCCUCCCGCUGAAAUGAAAUGUAGAGUCAUCGGGCAACUUUGCCCUUUGGUCCUGAAUUAUGUUUGGCCAAUUGGAGCACCAAUAGGAGGUUGUAGAAGAGAAGGAUGAAGGUGUGGCAUUACUGCUCCUGGACCCUCCCUACAAGAUUGUCUCAGGCUGGGUGGAAAGAUCACAUCACUGCGCAAUGCUGCCAUAACU